GCACUCCAGCAAACCCUGCUCUUCUGCGUCUGUGCUGGGCAGGGGUAAUGAUGGUGCCAUAGUGAUCCAAAGUGUAUCCAGAUGGGCCUCUGUGCUGCUUUGAGGCCUGUCUCUACAACUUUGACACAGGC